rnacentral:lncRNA from 13 species
CGUUUCUUUUACAGAACAUGGGGGACGCGAGGCGGACCGGCUCUAGAACGGAUGCGUCAACGCUGCUCGUUUAAUGGAACGCAGCGAUCGCGGGACGGACCGGCUCCAGAACGGAGGUGUCGUCGCUGCUCGUUUAACAGAUUCGAUGCUCGUGUGCAGUGCGGCGGCGGCGCGAGCGCGGCGUCGAUUUUGACGCGUAAAGUUGAUCGCGCGGAAGGGAAGGAAGCCGCUUCGCCAUCUUGAUCCCCAUUUACGUGUUUGAUUGCAAAACGCGGCGGACGCAGGACGGAUCGAAACCAGAGCAAGCGGCGUUGCGACUUGUUUAACAGAACGCGGCGUACACAGAAAGGACCAACUCCGGAACAAAUGGCGUUACAUUCAUCCAAUUAAUCGUAUAGUUUCGUAUGUACUACAAUUCUAUUAUUGCACAUCGUCGGAAUAUAAUCUGAAAAGAAAAUCUGACAACUUGGAAAUAAAUCAGAUUUAAGAGAGGUAUCGGGCUUCGGUGGAGCAACUUUGCGAUUCAUCGUAGCGACGUAUCUGAUAACUCCACUGUUGCGCAUCAAUCGCAAACUUAUUCCUCCCAUGUGUAUAAAGCUGACGCAUACUCGACGAUGAUUUAAAUAAACGAAUCACAAUCGGUUCGUUGCAUCACGCGUUUGUUUCGGGAGUGCCGUUUAAAGUAAUAGAAUUUAAUUAGUCCACGGGCGCAAUUUUAGUGUAUUUAACGCGAGUGUUCCGCGAGUGCAACGAGACGAGGAGGCUCGACAACCUGGAUCUGAGAGGAGGAGGAGGUCUGGGAGAGGCAUCGGGUCCCAGCGGAGCAAC